AUGUGGACACUUCAAACAAGUUAUUGUUCAUACUAGGUUCAUCCUCUCAAACAAGUUAAUGUUCUACAAUGGGUUUGCGUGUCCUUUAACUCCAUUCAUGCAUCUGUUUGAUUUCACUUGUUGCUUUUACUGUAUGCUCUCACUCAUCGUUCCUAUAUAUACACAAUUUUCCCUCUCUUCAUUUAUGGGAGAUGGAGCGACUACUCUGAUCUAUUAAAGAACAUUGACCAGAGAUUGGCAAAUCUACGCCAUGGCCCCGUCACGGGAGAGAGCAUUGGAUGGAUUGAAGCCGCAUAUGAGAAACUGAGGGAUCGUAUCUGUGGAAUAUCCAGAAGGCCUGGGAAUACCAGAGAUGGAUCGGUGGAGUUGGGUAAAUUAAUAAUCAUUCAUUUGAAAAAAAGGCUGGGUAUGACAUUCAAGAGGAAUGAGAAGAUGGUCGUUGAAGCUUUAGAGCCAAUAAAGGGAGAAUAAGUUGUGAAAGUGAGGGCUGAUUUAGCAUCCAAAAGAGAUGUGGAUUUUGAUGUUUGCACUUUUGGGAAAAGUGUAUGCAUUAAGAAGUGCAUGUUUCAAUUUCAAGGGAGAAGAAAAAACAUCAUAGAGUUUUCACACCAUCUGUCAUCGAGCCAUCUUCUGGUGUUGGAAGGAUAAUAUUUGAUGAUGCAACUUAUAGAUAUUGUAUAAAGACUGUUAUUUGAUUAUGCAACUUAUAGUAUUUUACACUCUGUGCAUUUUUUGUUUUAAUUUUACUAUAUGAUGUUUUUC